CCAGCCUCACCCACCUACACCUUGUUGACCUCACUUGAGUCACUUUUCUGGACUUUUGUAAGUAUCAUAUACAGGGUGUGAGUUCCAAGGAACUUCAUAAAUGAUUGUAAUGCCAUACCACAGUACAUAAAAAAGUUUGCUUAGGGAGGGGACAAUCAGUAACAGCCUAAGCUGACCAGUUGAUCACUGAUGAGACAUACAGUGGAUCCGGUACUAACAGGUAAGUGUUUAUGGGGCUUGCAAGUGCAGACAGGAACAUAGCUAUAAAAUAAUAGACAAUUUAGACAGGAUAUUGUAAGAAGUAUACUGCCAAUCUGAAAAUUACACAGCACGUAAAAACAGUCUGCCUACAUGCAUUUAUGGAGUAAAAGACAUUAUAGAGCUUGAAAUAUCUCAUAUUUUCGUUUUUGGAAUUAUCAUCUGCAUGCACAGGAAAAUGACAAGGUGGACUCAGCUGCAAUUCUAUGACCGGAGGAGGGAUUCCACCUUUCUUAUAGUAUUUAUUUUGGUGGUCAUAGUGCUCAUUGCAUUAUGUGUUUUUUUUGCACAAAACAAAGGAUAUCAAAAUAAAAAAGAUCAAGAAAAUAAAACAAUGCCACAUCGACAAAUUCUGGACAACUAUGAGAGGAAGAGUCUCUUAAACAUUACGUUUGCAAGGAAUAAAAGCAUUGUUCCAGAUAUUCAACUUAAUAGCAUAAAUGUGAAUCAACAAAAUUCAAGCUCAGUGUCUUCAGUGCCAUUCAGAUUGGUUGAAUCCCCAACUACUUCUAUUACAACAAUGGCACAAACAGGAAUGACACAAUCUACAGAGUCUGUCCGGACGGUCACUACCAAUGAAAUUACUCUAACUACCAACAUGGACCAUUCCACAACAACUGUUUUUGAGGCAACUUCAGAGACUUCCUCCAGUUCGCCUUCAUCAGUCACUUCAGAAAGCACUAGUUUACUCCAACAUCCCAGAACAAAGUACUGAAACAGCUGUAACAGGCACUAGUACAACAGAGAACAAAGCAACAACUGUUGAGACAUCUGAGACAAUGACAUCUGCACGUCCUGAAUCACCAACUACUUCUAUUACAACAAUGGCACAAACAGGAACAACACAAUCUACAGAGUCUGUCCCACCAGUCACCACCAAUGAAAUUACUCUAACUACCACCAUUGACCAUUCCACAACAACUUCAGAGACUUCCUCCAGUUCGCCUUCCACAGUUACUUCAGAAACUCUAGUUUACUCCAACAUCCCCAGAACAAAGUACUGAAACAGCUGUAACAGGCACUGUACAACAGAGAACAAAGCAACAACUCUGAGACUUCUGAGACAAUGACAUCCGCACACCCCGAAUCACCAACUACUUCUAUUACAACAACGGCACAAACAGGAACAACACAAUCUACAGAGUCUGUCCCACCAGUCACCACCAAUGAAAUUACUCUAACUACCACCAUUGACCAUUCCACAACAACUUCAGAGACUUCCUCCAGUUCGCCUUCCACAGUACUUCAGAAAGCUCUAGUUUACUCCAACAUCCCCAGAACAAAGUACUGAAACAGCUGUAACAGGCACUGGUACAACAGAGAACAAAGCAACAACUCCUGAGAUUUCUGAGACAAUGACAUCCGCACACACCGAAUCACCAACUACUUCUAUUACAACAACGGCACAAACAGGAACAACACAAUCUACAGAGUCUGUCCCACCAGUCACCACCAAUGAAAUUACUCUAACUACCACAUGACCAUUCCACAACAACUUCAGAGACUUCCUCCAGUUCGCCUUCCACAGUCACUUCAGAAAGCUCUAGUUUUACUCCAACAUCCCCAGAACAAAGUACUGAAACAGCUGUAACAGGCACUAGUACAACAGAGAACAAAGCAACAACUCUUGAGACUUCUGAGACAUGACAUCGCACACCCGAAUCACCAACUACUUC
rnacentral:lncRNA from 1 species